rnacentral:rRNA from 1 species
AGAGUUUGAUCCUGGCUCAGGAUGAACGCUGGCGGCGUGCUUAACACAUGCAAGUCGAACGAUGACUUUUGUGCUUGCACAAAAUGAUUAGUGGCGAACGGGUGAGUAACACGUGAGUAACCUGCCCUUAACUUCGGGAUAAGCCUGGGAAACCGGGUCUAAUACCGGAUACGACGGAUUCCCGCAUGGGGGUCCGUGGAAAGCUUGAUGCGGUUUUGGAUGGACUCGCGGCCUAUCAGCUAGUUGGUUGGGGUAAUGGCCCACCAAGGCGACGACGGGUAGCCGGCCUGAGAGGGUGACCGGCCACACUGGGACUGAGACACGGCCCAGACUCCUACGGGAGGCAGCAGUGGGGAAUAUUGGGCAAUGGGCGAAAGCCUGACCCAGCAACGCCGCGUGAGGGAAGAAGGUUUUCGGAUUGUAAACCUCUGUCCUAAGGGAAGAAGGAAGUGACGGUACCUUAGGAGGAAGCCCCGGCUAACUACGUGCCAGCAGCCGCGGUAAUACGUAGGGGGCGAGCGUUGUCCGGAAUGACUGGGCGUAAAGGGCGUGUAGGCGGCCUGUUAAGUUAGAAGUGAAAGUCCUGCUUUCAAGGUGGGAAUUGCUUUUAAUACUGAUGGGCUUGAGUGCAGAAGAGGUAAGUGGAAUUCCCAGUGUAGCGGUGAAAUGCGUAGAGAUUGGGAGGAACACCAGUGGCGAAGGCGACUUACUGGGCUGUAACUGACGCUGAGGCGCGAAAGCGUGGGGAGCGAACAGGAUUAGAUACCCUGGUAGUCCAUGCCGUAAACGUUGGGCACUAGGUGUGGGGGACAUUCCACGUUUUCCGCGCCGUAGCUAACGCAUUAAGUGCCCCGCCUGGGGAGUACGGCCGCAAGGCUAAAACUCAAAGGAAUUGACGGGGGCCCGCACAAGCGGCGGAGCAUGCGGAUUAAUUCGAUGCAACGCGAAGAACCUUACCAAGGCUUGACAUGAACCGGAAAGGCCUGGAAACAGGUCCCCCACUUGUGGCCGGUUUACAGGUGGUGCAUGGUUGUCGUCAGCUCGUGUCGUGAGAUGUUGGGUUAAGUCCCGCAACGAGCGCAACCCUCGUUCUAUGUUGCCAGCGGGUUAUGCCGGGGACUCAUAGGAGACUGCCGGGGUCAACUCGGAGGAAGGUGGGGACGACGUCAAAUCAUCAUGCCCCUUAUGUCUUGGGCUUCACGCAUGCUACAAUGGCCGGUACAAAGGGUUGCGAUACUGUGAGGUGGAGCUAAUCCCAAAAAGCCGGUCUCAGUUCGGAUUGAGGUCUGCAACUCGACCUCAUGAAGUUGGAGUCGCUAGUAAUCGCAGAUCAGCAACGCUGCGGUGAAUACGUUCCCGGGCCUUGUACUCACCGCCCGUCAAG